GUAAAACUUAAUCUUGUAUAUUUUGUGCAACCGGGAUAAAUAGGAGCAACAUUUUCAACAAUCGCCUCAUAGAAUUCCUUAGCACUAUCAUUAGGAGCUUCUUCAACAUUAGUAGUACCCGUGGUAUCAUAAAAUUCAUGAUUCGAACCAGCAAAAUCAUGUAACAUGGAGUUGAUAUCAACUGGAUAAUCUACUACCCUCCGAGAUUCUCGAGUUUCACAUGAUUUUUGCUUGUUUUUUUUUUUGCAAAACCUCCCCGUGCGAAGUCCAUACCUAACUCUCCAUCAUACCCUCAGAAAUCAAAUGAAAUCGAACAUCAUCUACCCCUAACCAAUUCAAAUUUUUGCAAAGCUUACAAGGACAUUUCAUCAUACAUCCCUCCAUUUUCAAACGUGCAAAUUUCAAAAAUUCUUCUACACCUUCUCUAUAUGCUAGAUUUAGAGUAAUUUGAUCUUGUUGCAACCGGUUACUAAUCCAACUCUGAUCAAUAUUUGUCAUCUACAUAAAUAUAUACAUAUACACACAUAUACAUAUUACAAAUUAUCCCAA
rnacentral:lncRNA from 1 species